AUUGAACGCUGGCGGCAUGCUUUACACAUGCAAGUCGGACGAGUGGCGAACGGGUGAGUAACAUAUCGGAACGUACCGAGUAAUGGGGGAUAACUAAUCGAAAGAUUAGCUAAUACCGCAUAUUAUUCGAGCGGCCGAUAUCUGAUUAGCUGGUUGGUGGGGUAAAGGCCCACCAAGGCGACGUGCAGUAGCGGGUCUGAGAGGAUGAUCCGCCACACUGGGACUGGGACAGGGCCCAGACUCCUACGGGAGGAAGCAGUGGGGAAUUUUGGACAAUGGGGGAAAGCCUGAUCCAGCCAUGCCGCGUGUCGGAAGAAGGCCUUCGUGUUGUAAAGGACUUUUGUCAGGGAAACGGUACCUAAAGAAUAGGCACCGGCUAACUACGUGCCAGCAGCCGCGGGAAUUC
rnacentral:rRNA from 1 species